rnacentral:rRNA from 1 species
UGGGCCCUACGGGACGCAGCAGUGGGGAAUAUUGGGCAAUGGGCGCAAGCCUGACCCAGCAAUGCCGCGUGAAGGAAGAAGGCGCUCGGGUUGUAAACUUCUUUUAUCAGGGACGAAGGAUGUGACGGUACCUGAUGAAUAAGCUCCGGCUAACUACGUGCCAGCAGCCGCGGUAAUACGUAGGGAGCAAGCUUUAUCCGGAUUUACUGGGUGUAAAGGGCGCGUAGGCG